AACCUGGGAAAGUCUUCUUCUAAAUUGAUGUCGUCGACAUAUAUAUUGGUAUCAGCUAAUAUACCUCAUGAAUUUCGAUUUUCACCUAUGAGAGAGGGGCAUGUUGCUGUCUGCUGGCAAUUGUAAUAUGGUACAAUCCUCGAUACAUUAACUGCUCAAAUUUCGCCAUCGGGAUUUAUUCCGUCCCCUUGCAAAAACGUAGCUGGUAGAAAGGACUAGAUAUACCCGUGAACCAACACCAAAAAUCCUCCUUCAUUCCAACCGGCACCAUAUUUUUCCUGUCAAUUCUAUUGGCAUAAAUCGGAGACCAUACAUAAGCUAUAAUGUCACUGGUCAUUUUUCGCAUUGCACUAAAAUAUAGAUCUAAACCGCGUUAUUUUUUUUCUUUUACAUACCACAUGGGCCUUUGUUCUAUCCAAGGCUUGCAGUCUUUCUCUUUGCAGCUAAAUGUGACAAAUUCGAAUAGCAACCAUGUGGUUGCUUACUUCCUUCAUUUAACAUACAAAUAUUUGUCGGGGAAUUCCUCAGGGGAAGUUGGGCGACGAC
rnacentral:sRNA from 1 species